UACGAGGGGGUGCUCAGAGUUGCCAACAUCACCAGGCUGCAGAGGGCCCGUGUGAGCGAGCGGGAGCUGCGUUAUCUGUGGGUCUUGGUGAGUCUCAAUGCCACCGACUCAGUGUUGGACGUGCUGCUCGAGGACCACCCAUCCUGGAAGUAUCUGCAGGAGGUUCAGACCCUGCUGGAGAAUGUUUAUGAGAGCCUCAGGGU